CCAGUUAAAGUUUUUAAGCCCAUUCAGUUCAGACUAUGCAUUUUGUAUACGUACGGCGUUCGGAACCAAAAAAGGCAUAACUCCACUGAAAUGGAGGGCAGUUUCUCUGUGUAUAGUCUAACUCAGUUACAGACUGAUCAAAAGUGCCAUCCUAUUCUUCUCUCGCUGUUCCUUUCUCCUCUACAGAAGAAACCUCCCUUUUGGUGUCGCUUCCUGAAGCCAACUCCUGAGUUUCCUCCUCACAGGGAGGUGCGCUCGGCUCAGAUUUAUCAGCUUCUUCUUUGCUCCGAGCUGGUCCAGCGGCAGGAGCAUCUUGUGAGUUGCUGUAUUCUUGAUCUGCAUCAUAGCUGGCAAAUGGACCCCCAGUGUCCAUCAAGCUAGC
rnacentral:misc_RNA from 1 species